CCGGCUUUUAUAAAUCAAUCCCACUUAAUUUAGUCAUACUUUUUUGCUCUUCUCUCUUUUUGAUGGAGAAUUAUUUUAUUCUCCAAGGUAGAAUAAAGGCGCGUCAUAAACUCCAUGCCUUUUCUUUUAUACAAGAAACUACAUUUUUUGGGAAGUUCGUCGCCCUUCGGUGAGCAAAGUAAUUUUAUUUGGUGUACAUUUCAAAUUGUUUUCAAUGAAG
rnacentral:lncRNA from 1 species